CUGACUGCAGAGACAAUGCUUGUUUUUGUUUAGGGCGAGGAGGAAGAACUCCCUAAGUGUUGCAUCAGCUGUGAUAAGCGGGUUCGAGCUGAGGACGUGGCAAACUGAUGGCACCAGGCCUUAGCAUCAGGAAGGAUGGGAUCCGUGGGCAGGGCUCAGGAAUUGGGCAGACCCCCCAGUUCCGCCACCUUCUUCCUAGUGGGUGGCCCAGUGAAAUCAAGCGACUUCCCUGUGCCUCAGCUUCGUCACCUGCAACACGCGGACAACAGACGGCGCUGCUGUGAAGAUCUAACCACUGACGCUCAUCAGGUUUGCUGCAGGAGAGCUGAGAGGAGGCAAGGCCAAGUCGCCAGAGUGCCUGGGCGUGAUGCCAUCACCCCGCCAGGGAGCCGGAGUGCUGCCGGAUUUCACUCAAGGAUACAAAAGAAAAAAUGGCAAGGGGCUCUGUCCCUUCUGUUGCCCCCCACGGCCUGACAUCUGCACGCCUGCAAGACAUCCUCUUGUCGCUGGAGAGAUACUACUCGGGGAUCACAUGCCCUACACGGGGAAGAAGGAAUCUUGGGCUCUAGUUCAGGAACAUAAAAAUGCACUCUGCUCAUCUGGUUUGUUCAUAAAACUGUGAAUGCCCUAGGGGAAACAGAAAGCUAUUUUCGCAACAUUCCCUAGUUUGGUUGAGAUUAUGUGCGGAGAAAAACAUUCCCAUUUUUGUCAUGGCUACAGAGGUUUGCUUUUCCUGUGUUUUCAUCGUCCGCCCCCCCCACCGCCCCCCGGCCCCGAACAG
rnacentral:lncRNA from 1 species